rnacentral:rRNA from 1 species
CCUACGGGAGGCAGCAGUGGGGAAUCUUGCACAAUGGAGGAAACUCUGAUGCAGCGAUGCCGCGUGAGUGAAGAAGGCCCUUGGGUUGUAAAGCUCUUUCGUCGGGGAAGAAAAUGACUGUACCCGAAUAAGAAGGUCCGGCUAACUUCGUGCCAGCAGCCGCGGUAAUACGAAGGGACCUAGCGUAGUUCGGAAUUACUGGGCUUAAAGAGUUCGUAGGUGGUUGAAAAAGUUAGUGGUGAAAUCCCAGAGCUUAACUCUGGAACUGCCAUUAAAACUUUUCAGCUAGAGUAUGAUAGAGGAAAGCAGAAUUUCUAGUGUAGAGGUGAAAUUCGUAGAUAUUAGAAAGAAUACCAAUUGCGAAGGCAGCUUUCUGGAUCAUUACUGACACUGAGGAACGAAAGCAUGGGUAGCGAAGAGGAUUAGAUACCCUCGUAGUCCAUGCCGUAAACGAUGUGUGUUAGACGUUGGAAAUUUAUUUUCAGUGUCGCAGCGAAAGCGAUAAACACACCGCCUGGGGAGUACGACCGCAAGGUUAAAACUCAAAGGAAUUGACGG